CAGUCCGUGCGCCAGGCCACUGAGUGGGCCGUUUUCAUUUUCCUGGGUCCGAUCCCGCGGGAAAAAGUCUGCACAAAACUGUGUUGGUGAAGAUGAUGACGACAAUGGCAGUUGGGGGAGAAAUUUGGCAAUUGUUUUGGCCUUUCUCGCGGCCUGUCUUCGCUCCUUUGCCUUUGCAGCAAUGGAAGAUGAUGAGUUCAAUGUUGUGCUUUGACGCCGAGUAGAAAAUUUGAAUCGCAAACGCCAUCUUGGCCUUUAUUUAUGGAAGAAACUGCUCUCCCCGAUUUGCUGGUUUCGCCGACUGGCAUCGAGAAGUAGACGAGCUGCGCUUUCCUAGAGCCGCGGACACCAAGCUCUCAUGGCGGACCUUAGUGGAUCGUGCUCUAACGCGUCUUGGCAUUGUGUGAGAACAGCACGAAGAGGACCUUGGCUAUUAACGCGUCUUGGCAUUGUGUGAGAACAGCACGAAGAGGACCUUGGCUAUUAACGCGUCUUGGCAUUGUGUGAGAACAGCACGAAGAGGGCCUUGGGUAUUGCAGCCUUUCCGCAGAAGGAGAAUGACUCGCUUCUUUUGCUAGUGUGCAAACAUCCAUGUGUUCUCCCAGUACUGCUGUUAGCUCAGCCAGAGGAUUAUCGCAGAUCUGAGUGUGACAAGCGAUCAGCUGUAAUAGCUUUGUUGUGAAUGCUUGCACUGCUGUCAACUAUUAAACAUUCUAGCUGUGCCUCGUAGCACUCCUUGCAAAAGACAUCAUUCUAUGCUAUUGUCAUGUUCUUACUCCUUGGAACUGCUGAGACCGUUUCAUAGUGGGAACAGUUCAUCUGUGCCUGUUUGUCCAUAACUGUCUUUACAUGUGCUGCAAUGCCGCCUAUAUUGGCGCGGCGUUCACUUUUGAGCUCGUCCGCUACGUUCCGUUUCAUACACUUCUGUAGUAACGCAAUGAAGAUUCUCAUUGACACUCCUUUACACAGCCAGCGUAUGUGGAUAUUAGUCUGUAGGUGGCUGCAAUUUGCGUUUUUGCCUUUCGCCGUUCACUAUUUUACCAAAAUAUUCCAAUAUUCUGCA